GGAGAGGUGGCCGAGUGGUCGAAGGCGCCAGCCUGGAAAGUUGGUAUACGGGGUAACUCGUAUCGAGGGUUCGAAUCCCUCUCUCUCCGCCA
rnacentral:tRNA from 3 species